CUUGGACCACAGUGCUUCAUUAAAGCUGGACUUUGAACACUGUGUGUGUCUGCUGCUGCUCAGCUGUUCGAGAUUCUGACUUUAACUGUGACAUGAUUUGAACAACAUGGAGCACGCUGCAUUGUAUAAUGGUAUUGUGAAAGAGAAAAGCAAACAGCUUAUAACCUUUACAUGGAGUAAAUGGAGUAAAUGGAGCAGGGGUAAAGAAAUAAACUGUGACAGAUUAUGACAGUAAAUUGAGAAAAGCUGAAAAGACUUUGAAAAGAGAAAAGGAAAAAUAAAGUAAAACAACAAGAGAAACUGUGUGCGGAGAACGCAUAUACUUAUAGAUAUUGAAGCUCGGCUUACCUCUUUAGCUAGCACCACUAGCACCAUUUAUCCUUACCCCUUUUCAACAUCAAUAGCCCGGUAAUGUAAGAGGCAAGAAAAUGGAAACAGUGUUUUGACACUUUUUUUUUUCGACACUUUUUAAAAAAGGAGUUUGGACCCCCCUUUUUUUUCUGUUUUUAUCUCCCUAUUCUUUUUUUCCUUCUAUUGGGGUAAGACAUCAAAGCGGUAA